GAAGCAGCAACGCCGCGUGAGGGAUGAAGGCCUUCGGGUUGUAAACCUCUUUUCUCAGGGACGAUGAUGACGGUACCUGAGGAAUAAGCACCGGCCAACUACGUGCCAGCAGCCGCGGUAAUACGUAGGGUGCGAGCGUUGUCCGGAAUUAUUGGGCGUAAAGGGCUCGUAGGCGGUCUGUCACGUCGGGAGUGAAAACACGGGGCUUAACUCCGUGCCUGCUUCCGAUACGGGCUGACUAGAGGUAUGCAGGGGAGAACGGAAUUCCUGGUGUAGCGGUGAAAUGCGCAGAUAUCAGGAGGAACACCGGUGGCGAAGGCGGUUCUCUGGGCAUCACCUGACGCUGAGGAGCGAAAGUGUGGGGAGCGAACAGGAUUAGAUACCCUGGUAGUCCACACCGUAAACGUUGGGCGCUAGGUGUGGGACUCAUUCCACGAGUUCCGUGCCGCAGCUAACGCAUUAAGCGCCCCGCCUGGGGAGUACGGCCGCAAGGCUA
rnacentral:rRNA from 1 species